UACAGAGGGUGCGAGCGCUAAUCGGAAUUACUGGGCGUAAAGCGUGCGUAGACGGCUAUCUAAGUCGGGUGUGAAAGCCCCGGGCUCAACCUGGGAAUUGCAUUCGAGACUGAAUAGCUAGGGUGCGGUAGAGGGAAGCGGAAUUUCCGGUGUAGCGGUGAAAUGCGUAGAUAUCAGGAGGAAUACCGAUGGCGAAGGCAGGUCUCUGGGCUGACACUGACGCUCAUGCACGAAAGCGUGGGGAGCAAACAGG
rnacentral:rRNA from 1 species